UACGUAGGGCGCGAGCGUUGUCCGGAAUCAUUGGGCGUAAAGAGCUCGUAGGCGGUCCGUCACGUCCGCUGUGAAAACCCAGGGCUCAACCCUGGGCUUGCAGUGGAUACGGGCAGACUAGAGGUAGGUAGGGGGAGAAUGGAAUUCCCGGUGUAGCGGUGAAAUGCGCAGAUAUCGGGAGGAACACCGGUGGCGAAGGCGGUUCUCUGGGCCUUACCUGACGCUGAGGAGCGAAAGCGUGGGGGAGCGAACAGG
rnacentral:rRNA from 1 species